GCUCACGUCUCACGCAUGCGUACACACCGGCGCCGGCUGUAGCCGCUGGGUGGGCACAGAAGGCCGCGAUGUACGUGCGUUGAUCACGUGUCGGUCACCGUCUCUACCCCCGCUGGGGCCUCGCGAGGUCUGGAGCGAGUGGUCAGUCAGGGAACGUGACCGAGGCCCGUGGUGUCGCCGGGAGCUUGAGGGGUCGGACCAGACUCAGUAGACGCGAGGUAGGGGACCCUGGGACUAGCAGGGUACCCACCAGCUGCCAUCUUCCUGAGUGGGGGAUGGACCGUUUCCUCACCAACAGGUCACGUUUGCUUUCCUCGUUGUGUGGCGCGGAGGUGACGUUAGCCUGCCCAAAGCUUCACAACUGGUUAGGAUCCGCCAAGACAAAGCCGCAGAAGCGUCCUCGAAACCUUGCGACAGCCGGGUCCGUGUCAGACUCCGGCUUCCGCGCUCUUCCUCAGGCCCUGCACUCUCCAGCUGUCUGGCAGCGGGUUAACGGCGGAGAACGUAAGGAUUAGAACAUUAACCAGAAGACCUGGAGAGUCCACUAUGAACUUACUGAUUGGGGAACCUUUUCAGAGAAGGAAGAUAUUUAGAGCAGGGAUCGUUCACUCUCUCGGGAGAAGGUUAUACCUCUUAAAAGAUCCCACCGCAAAACUGCCUUCCUGAGGACCAAGCCAACAACACACCUUGGCAGCCAAGCCACAUCCAAACAGUAUCAAAGAGGAUGUCUCAAAGAGAGGUCUUAGUGGUGUGUUCUCCAGUGUUUUUGUUUUAAUGAACAAACAACAAAAACAACUCAGAACAGACUCUUCAGGGUGCUAAAUAACUUGCCAGAGCCGGCCGCUUUUCCUGAAAAAGCCUCAGCCCCAGGGAACCAGGAAUGGCCGCCUAAGUCUGCCUCCGUGGGACAUUUCACGUAUGCCGAGCCACAUGUGACCGGCUUGUUUCACCAGCACGGUGUGCUCAGCUCAGCCAUGCCGAGGAAAGCAUCUCAAAUAACGAGAAAGGCGGCAGGAGAGCAGGGAGUCGGAGGUGCUGCUGCUCUCCUCCUGGGCUUGCCACUGCCCUCUGCCCUGCGGGUCCCUGGCUGGUUCUGAACCUCUCCGGUGCUCGGGUUGUGCACUGUAUUAGUCACUCUCCUGUCACUGAGACACGCUGUUCUCUGUGCAUCUGCCUUGGGCUGCGAUCUGCAGAAGGACCUCCCACACACUCUUGGUGGGGCAAGCUCUGGACAGCUCACAGCGAGGGAAAGCCACAGGGUCACCAGGAAAACAUGGCUGCCCGUCGUGGUUGUGUAUUCAAAUUAAGGCGCAGGAGAAAUUUGGGGAAGAGAUGAAGACGUCCACCCUCAGGUGACAGAGGAGAUGCGGGCAGCUGUGGAACUCUUACGAGGGGACGGUGUCUGGUUCUCUCCCUGUAGAGAGCGACAGGACGUGAUGGCGGGGUGGCCGGUACACAGGGCUUGACGAAAGUGACUCCAUUUUAGAUUCUGACAACUUGCACCCAAAAGUCCCAGGACAGGAGCAGAAGUAUAUCCUACCUCUAACCUGAAGGAGGUAGAAUAUAUUGGGAUCAAAUUAUUUUCCAGUGGAUAAAUAAUGAGCAGGAAAGAACCGAGAUGUAUACUCACUUUUUCAAAAUCUACAGCAGGAUGGAACACUGUCGCCUGUCCAUCAGAUGUCACCAGCAGCAGAGCACCGUCACUUGCCAGUAGACUCCUGUCUCUUGCCAAUGGAAUGCUGUUGUCACUUGUGCCGGCAAGUGGAACACUGUCUCAGUGGGACACAGGGAGGGGUGUUUGUGCAUGAGCUGGCCUGGAGGUGCCUCAGGACAUCCAGGCGGAGAUAGAAAGUUGGCGGUGGGGGCAUCUAGAGGGCUGUGGGCAGAGCCCUGGAGAUCGUGUAGGGCCAGGGAGGGAGCCUAGCCCAUACCCAGGAGAGUCCAGCUUUGGGGAGUUUGAGGUUCCUGGAGAGGGUAUUGGGAAGAUGUGGAUCCAGAACCCCGGAGCGCCCAGGGAUGGGAGCCUGGCCCAGGGAGCCAGGGAAUGGAGACCACCGGAGACUCCUCCAGAGCAAGCUCAGGAAGAGGAGACUGGCCUGAGGGUGAGUGUCCACUGUGCCCCAGGUCUGGAAGUCAGGCCAGCCCUGAGUCCUUCGGGCAUCAAGGACAAGGUGCUGAUCAAGUUGCCAGGCCAGAGAGAAAGGUGCAGCUAGCAGUUCUGCAACCCAUCUGCAAGACCCAGCCCUGCUGAGACACGUCUGCUAUGCGCUGGGCCCUGGCACCGGGGACUGGACCCAUGGCCUUUGUACUGAGCUAUACCCCAGCUCUUUUUAAAUUUUGACACAGGCUCUUGCUAAGUCA